UGGGUUGCCUGUGUUCGACAGCAUAUCCGAUUGGUACUGUUGAUGAGUAUUGUGGUUGCUACCUAUUCAAAAGGUGUGUGUGCUCCUGACGAAGAGGUUUUUGCUAUUGAGUAGGUGCGACCUUCUCAAGUUUGGACGUGUUAUGACCGACGAGUUAAGGGCAGAUAUUACUGAAGUGAAGCUUGAUCUGAUAGAGUCCACACCGUUCAGGGAUUUGUUUAGAGCUUUUUAUGAGCGGCAAAUAAUAGACUCUGCUUGUAGGUAGUCUAAUAGUGACAUCGUUUCUCUUUUAAAAUGCUUUGACAAGGAAAAAAACUCGUUUCAGUUUGGGGAAAUUACUGGUACCAUAUCUGUAGGUGACAUUCCAGAACUGUUUGGUUUGAAUAUUGAAGGUCGUGAGAUCAACCUUAACCAGAAGAAGAGAAAAGGGGAUUCUGAUUUCAUUAAAAGACGAUUCCCUGGAGUGAAAAGGUUGUCCAAGGUGAUCCUGGAGCAACUAAUCAAAGAUGUAUCUAAACUGAGGGGGCUUGAGAAUGAAUGUGAUUUUGUUAGCAUGGUGAAAUCUCAAAACGCUUGGCAUUUUUGAAAGAUAAGGGUAAAUCAAUUAUUAAGAGCAAGAUGAUAUGGAAACAUGUGAAAAGAGAAGGUCAAGUGAGUCUAUUUACGUUCAAUGUAUCAAACAAAGACAGGGACUUGCUUACCUGGUUGGGAAGGAAUAAUGUUCAUCAUUUCCCUAUUAUUUCAAGCAAGGAAUGUCCUAAACAAGAUCCUUCCAGUGUGGACAACGGGAUUGCUGUGACGUACAUUAUCAAGCGAUUAUCGGAAGGUCUUGAAUUAGAGUCUACCUUUAAAAAAGGUGCCAUGACUCAGCAGAGAGCACAUGUUUUGGGAAGGUUCUUAAGUGACAACAAUGACGGUUAGGCUCAUCUUUGUGAAAGGAGUUUGGGAGGGACAGGAAUGCCAUUUGGAAGGCCUUUCAUCAGUUUUUAUGUCUUUUCUGGAAUGGUAAUGAUUGUGGAUGCUUAAAGUGAUCGUAUAUGUAUUUUUUGUAAUGUUUGAGAAUUUGUAUGAUUAAAGUGUGUUUCUUAAAACACGAUGGAUCGUGUGGAAAUCAUUUUAUUUCUGAAUAAGUUUUUUUUAUGCACAAUUAAACAGGGU